rnacentral:tRNA from 4 species
GGACUCGUAGUCGAAUGGUAAGACGCUACCCUGACAUGGUAAAGAUUCGCGGUUCGAUUCCGCGCGAGUCCA